AACGAACGCUGGCGGCAGGCUUAACACAUGCAAGUCGAACGAGAUCCUGGGGCUUGCUCCAGGUGACAGUGGCAGACGGGUGAGUAACGCGUAGCAACCUACCUUUUUCUACGGAAUAACGCUUAGAAAUGAGUGCUAAUACCGUAUACGCCCUUUUGGGGAAAGAUUUAUCGGUGAAAGAUGGGGCUGCGUUAGAUUAGCUAGUUGGUGAGGUAAGGGCUCACCAAGGCAACGAUCUAUAGCGGGUCUGAGAGGAUGAUCCGCCACACUGGGACUGAGACACGGCCCAGACUCCUACGGGAGGCAGCAGUGGGGAAUCUUAGACAAUGGGCGCAAGCCUGAUCUAGCCAUGCCGCGUGAAUGAUGAAGGCCUUAGGGUUGUAAAAUUCUUUCGAUAGGGAAGAUAAUGACGGUACCUAUUAAAGAAGCCCCGGCUAACUCCGUGCCAGCAGCCGCGGUAAUACGGAGGGGGCUAGCGUUGUUCGGAAUUACUGGGCGUAAAGCGUCCGCAGGCGGAUAUUUAAGUUAGAGGUGAAAUCCCGGGGCUCAACCCCGGAACUGCCUUUAAAACUGGGUAUCUAGAGUUAUGGAGAGGUAAGUGGAAUUCCUAGUGUAGAGGUGAAAUUCGUAGAUAUUAGGAGGAACACCAGAGGCGAAGGCGGCUUACUGGACAUUAACUGACGCUGAGGGACGAAAGUGUGGGUAGCAAACGGGAUUAGAUACCCCGGUAGUCCACACCGUAAACGAUGAGAGCUAGUUGUCUGUGCGUAUACGUAUAGGUGACGCAGCUAACGCAUUAAGCUCUCCGCCUGGGGAGUACGGUCGCAAGAUUA
rnacentral:rRNA from 1 species